AAAAAACUGGGUCAAAAGUCAGUACUAAAGCUGUUGAUAGCAACUGAGCAAAAUAUAUAUAUUUUUUGCCAUUUACCAAUUAUGAGUUCAGAUUGUACAUUUGUCUGACACUGAUGAACUGUCAGGGAUGCUAAGUCAGUAUGUUACAGAACUAUAGUUCUAUUGCUGCAAUCGGAUUGUAUGACUAAUACCAAAUGGGCCAAUGUGCCCCUGGUGUAACUCCGUUUACUUAACAGAAGAUGCCCAGGAAUGAAUCUGGCCCAUUGUCUUUGUCCCAGCAUCCAGUGGAUUUUUUAGGUUAUUCAUAGUUCCAUCAGAGAUUGUGUUAGUGGGUGAAAGUGGAGCUGUGCUAGCCAGGCAGUAGGAAUAUUCAGAAAGUGCCAUUCCAUUUGGCAUGUGUUCACUAGCUAGGCAGCAAUCCCACCUUGCACAAUCCUAGAGCCUGGGCUCCAGCCCAAGCCCAAACAGCUACAUUACAAUUAAACAGCCCCUCAGUCUGAGUCCCACAGACCCCGGCUUCUAAUUUUGCCUGUGGGUGCUCAACCCCUGCUGAGUCCCAGGCCGUGCCCCCACUCCAACCCUUCCCCUAAGCCCCCGCUCCCACUCCACCCCCACUCCUCCCACACUCCACCCUUUUCCCCCAAGGCCCCACCCACCUCUUCCCAUCCUCACUCCACUCGCUGCCUCUUUACAGCCCCUUCCCACAAGCGCAUCCCAUCCCCACUCCUCCUCCUCUUCCCCAGCACCUCCUGCACACUGCAAAACAGCUGUUCCUCAGCGUUCAGGAGGCACUGGGAGGGAGGGGGAGGAGUUGAUCAGCGGGUCCGCAGGCAGAUGGGAGUGGAGGGGGGAGAGAGGGAGCUAGCUGUCAGUGGGUGCUAAGCACCAGCUAAUUUUUCUCUGUGGGUGCUCUAGCCCUGUAUCUACAGAGCAUCUACGGAGUCGGCGCCUAUGCUGAGUCCCAUGAGGCAGCGUUAGCUGGCACAGGCCAGCAGCAGGUUUUUAACUGCAGUGUAGACAUACCCUUACAGUACCCUGCACUCCUCUGCAGCUGCAUUGGGUGAGUCACAGUUAUUACCUUAACAUGAUCCCUUAACAAUGAUUAAAGGUCUAGAAAACAUGACCUAUGAGGGAAGAUUGAAAACAUUUGGUUUGUAUAGUCUGGAGAAGAGAAGACUGAGAGGGGACAUGAUAACAGUUUUUAAGUACAUAAAAGGUUGUUACAAGGAGGAGGGAGAAAAAUUGUUCUUCUUAACCUCUGAGGAUAGGACAAGAAGCAAUGGGCUUAAUUUGUAGCAAGAGCAGUUUAGGUUGGCCAUUAAGAAAAACUUCCUAACUGUAAGGGUAGUUAAGCACUGGAAUAAAUUGCCUACCGAGGUUGUGGAAUCUCCGUCAUUGGGGAUUUUUAAGAAUAGAUUGGAUAAACACCUGUCAGGGAUGGUCUAGAUAAUACUUAGUCCUGCCUUGAGUGAAGGAGACUGGACUAGAUGACCUCUUGAGGUCCAUUCCAAUUCUAUGAUUCUAUAUAAAGAGGAGAUUUGGAUACCUGUGAAUCUGUCCAUUGUUUCCUGUCUAGGCUGGGAUUUUCAAAGGGAACUAGGGAAUUAGGUGCCUAGCUCUGACGGACCUACAAGUGGUUGAGAGCGUGCUUCUUAGAUGAUGAAGGGGUGGAAAGGAGUUUUUGUAAGGGGCUGAGUUCCUGUUGAACUGACCAUUUAAUGGUGCUGAGCUGUAACAGUAUUGUUAAUGGUGUGUUAAUGGUCUAGAACUUGGCCAUUAAUCUUUUUAGUUAUUUAAACUGGGAUAAAUAGAUAAAGCAAAAUAAAUAAAAUAUUCCCUUAGGCCCCUUUGAAAACCUCAGCCUUAGUUUACGAUUAGGAGAUUAUUAGUAUUAUUUGCAUGCACCUAAUAUCAGAAACAUUGGGCCCAAUUCUUAUAACAGCAAGGCCCCUUUAUACCACUCUGGAAGUGAAAAGGAGCCUUACCAGAGGCAUAAAUCACGUUUCCACUUACUUUAGGGCCCCUUUGCACUAUCAGAGCAGUGUAAUAAGACCUAACCCAUCACUUCCAACUACAUCUGCACUAGGAAUGCUGUGCCACUGUAGCACUCCAGUGUAGACACUUACUAUAGUGACAGAAGGGAUUCUUCCAUUUCUGCCAUAAAUCCAGCUGUCCAAGGGGUGGUAAGUAGGUCAAUGGAAGAAUUAUUCCAUUGACCUAGGACUGUCCAGGUGGGGGUUUAGGUUGACUUAGCUAAGUCUCUCACGGGUGUGAAUUUUUCACAUCUCUGAGUGAUGUAGCUAGUAUAGGCCAGCUGUCUGUAAUCUGAGUACCUCAAUCCAUAUCUUCAAUUAAGUGGUUGGGCAUGUCAAUUCUUCACAAAGGUCAGCAAUGAAGGAAGACUUGCCAAAGAUCUGGCAUAUAUCAAAAGUCAUCAGCUUCCCCAACCUGGUAAAAAUCCAAACCAAGAAUCAAGCUAUGCCCAAUAUCACUGCUUUCUGUGUGUCUCAAGGUCCUAGAGCACCUAAUUUUACAGCAAGUAGCACUGGAGGUAGAGAACAUCUUGAACAAGAAGCAAGCAAGCUUUCAAUAGGGUUGAAGCACAGGCGAUUGAAUACUUGAGCUACUUAUAUUAAUCAAAAAUGAUUUUCAAAAAAAAUCUGAAAACAGGCGCUAUUUUGCUUGAUCUCACUGCAGUGUAUGAUAUGGUGUGGCACACAGGUCUACUUGUUAAAAUAUGAAAAGUCCUCCCACCAUGGUUUAUUGAUGCCAUCAAACUGCUACUCUGAGACAGACAGUUCAUGUUACACAUGAGUGAAAAAACAAAUGCUUAGAAAAAACAGAUGAAUGGGUUACCCCAGCAGUAUGUUCUGGCCCCAAUCUAUACAUCAAUGACCUGCCACCAACCCAGUCACGGAAGUUCAUCUAUGCAGACAACAUCUGCUGUGGGCUACAGGCUCUGACUUUCUCUGAGCUGGCGAAGGCCCUGAUUGACUAUGCUGCAGGACUGUCUGACUGCUGCAAGACAUGGCGCCUUCAGCCUAGCACCAGCAAGACAGUUUCAAGCACAUUCCACCUGCACCAUGCCAAUGCUAAGAGGGAACUAAAAUGAAUGGCCAGAGACUGAAACAUGAAACAUAUCCAGUUUACUUAGGCAUGACCCUCGACUGAACACUGACAUACAAAAGUCACUUAAGCAAGAUAGCAGCGAAGAUCAAGGCAUGCAAUAACCACCUCAGCAAACAGGCAGGAACUUUAUGGGGAGUGGAUGCUCCAAUACUAAGGACUCAGCCCUUGCCAUUUCGUACUCAAUAGCAGAGCACUGUGUGCCAGUAUGGAGUCGGUCGGCACACACCAAACUUGUUGACGUGCAACUCAACUCAACAAUGCACAUCAUCACAGGAUGACUCUGACUGACUCAUCUUCCAUGGCUUCCAGUUCUGAGCCACAUUGCUCCGUCCCUUUUACAUCAGGUAGGAGGUUACAGUUGAAAAGCUUCUUGAGAAGGAUCCAAAGUAAAGAGAUGUCCUGAGGAAUUUGGUCUUCAACCACGGAGAUCAUUGUACACUUAUCAGAAUGAAGUAUUAUUGAAGCAGGGAACUUGAGAGAAGACAGACUUACACCUAAUGCAUUCACACCAAACUCUGUCUUUAACACAAAGCCAGCAGUAGAAAACAAACUUUGGCUUUGAUAAUUAAAGUUUAUUAUCGCUGCUGAAAUAAAAGUUUUGUUGUAUAAGAAAUAGAUAAAUAAAGCAAGGCUGCAUUAACAUCA